rfam:Gossypium arboreum cultivar AKA8401 contig_15225_3, whole genome shotgun sequence.
AAACUAUAUAUCAGGCAUUUUCUAAUUAAUUCCUUGAAACACUCUCAUGCUUCAUAUAAAGUCUCAUCUUCAGAUUGCCUAAAUGAUGUAAUGUCAUAACUUAGCUU